GAUUAACUGAACAGGACACUGAGAAAACUUUCUGGACUAAUGGAAAUGUUCUGCUUCUUGUUUCCGGGAAUGGCUUCACGGGUAUAUAUAAUUGUAAAAGCUUAAGGAAUUGAACAUUCAAGAACUAUGCACCCCACCAUGAAACAUGCACAGGUGCUCAGAAAUGUGAGCCGCCUCAAAACAAUGUGGACAUGUUCAUAAUUGGCAAAAAGUCUUCAGUUGACUCUGACAACUUAAGUGUCCCACAACUGUUGAGGAUUUUGCUGGCUGACGCAGUCCCAGUAUGGAAACCACAAGGUUCUGAGGAGCUGACCUCUCCCCCACGCACACCUGCCUAUCCAUUCUCCGUCUCGCCCUGCCUCCCCCUGCGCCCGUUCCUGCUGCCCCAGGCGCAUGCGCACUUGCUCGGUGGGAGGUGAGUGAAUGCGCACGCUCCGGGCACAGUCUCGCGUCAAUCUCCGCC
ensembl:lncRNA